rnacentral:snoRNA from 13 species
ACCCCAUGAUAUUAAGCCGGCAGUUGCUCGAAAUUUAACCAAGAGCAGCUGUGACUAUGACUGGGAACAUUAAAGUCGCUGAUGUGUGUAUGUUAAACAGCGUAUUCUUUACCCUGCGCGUUCGACAAAGUAAUUUCAGACCACA